UACGGAAGGCAGCAGUGGGGAAUAUUGCACAAUGGGCGCAAGCCUGAUGCAGCCAUGCCGCGUGUAUGAAGAAGGCCUUCGGGUUGUAAAGUACUUUCAGUCGUGAGGAAGGUGUUAAGGUUAAUAACCUUAGCAAUUGACGUUAGCGACAGAAGAAGCACCGGCUAACUCCGUGCCAGCAGCCGCGGUAAUACGGAGGGUGCGAGCGUUAAUCGGAAUUACUGGGCGUAAAGGGCACGCAGGCGGUUAAUUAAGUUGGAUGUGAAAUCCCCGGGCUUAACCUGGGAAUGGCAUUCAAGACUGGUUAGCUAGAGUCUUGUAGAGGGGGUAGAAUUCCAUGUGUAGCGGUGAAAUGCGUAGAGAUGUGGAGGAAUACCGGUGGCGAAGGCGGCCCCUGGGACAAAGACUGACGCUCAUGUGCGAAAGCGUGGGGA
rnacentral:rRNA from 1 species